CAAGUCGAACGGGCUAUGUGAUUGGGUAACCGAGAUCAUAGUUAGUGGCGAAAGGAUGAGUAAUGGAUAGGUAACGUACCUCUUGCUCUGGGAUAGCGUCUAGAUGAUACAUCUUUCCGAAAGGGGCGGUAAUGCCAGGUAAUAUCACGAAUUGCAGGAUUUGUGAUCAUAGAUNUAUCGGCGAGAGCGCGGNCUAUUCCCUAUCAGCUAGUUGGUGAGGUAACGGCUCACCAAGGCAAUGACGGGUAGCGGGACUGAGAGGUUGGCCCGCCAUAUCGGGACUGAGACACUGCCCGGACCUCCACGGAGGGCUGCAGUAACGAAUAUUGGGCAAUGAGCGCAAGCUUGACCCAGCGACGCCGCGUGCGGGAUGAAGCUCCUCGGAGUGUAAACCGCUGUCAGGGAUACGUAAGCAUGGUUUUCCAUGUUGAACUACCCCAAAGGAAGUCACGGCUAACUUCGUGCCAGCAGCCGCGGUAAUACGAAGGUGGCAAGCGUUGUUCGGAAUCACUGGGCAUAAAGCGUACGUAGGCGGAUUACCAAGUGUCCUUUGAAAUCCCUCGGCUUAACCGAGGAACUGGGGGGCAAACUGGUAAUCUUGAGGCAUGUAGGGGUGUGUGGAACUCUUGGUGGAGCGGUGGAAUGCGUAGAUAUCAAGAGGAACGCCAGCGGAGAAAUCGGCACACUGGGCAUGUCCUGACGCUGAGGUACGAAAGCAUGGGUAGCGAACGGGAUUAGAUACCCCGGUAGUCCAUGCUGUAAACGAUGUCUACUAGGUUGCGGGAGUUCUGACGCUUUCGCAGCCGCAGCAAAAGUGUUAAGUAGACCGCCUGGGGAGUACGGUCGCAAGGCUAAAACUCAAAGGAAUUGACGGGGGCUCACACAAGCGGUGGAGCAUGUGGAUUAAUUCGAAGCAACGCGCAGAACCUUACCUAGGUUUGACAUGCUUGGAUGCUUGCCUGGAAACAGGUUAAGCUGCCUUUCGGGGUGAAACUUGCACAGGUGCUGCAUGGCUGUCGUCAGCUCGUGUCGUGAGAUGUUGGGUUAAGUCCUUAAACGAGCGAAACCCUUGCCGCUAGUUGCCAGCGAGUAAUGUCGGGGACUCUAGCGGGACUGCCGGUGUUAAACCGGAGGAAGGCGGGGAUGACGUCAAGUCCUCAUGGCCUUUAUGCCUAGGGCUUCACACGUGCUACAAUGGGAAGUACAGAGCGACGCAAGACCGUGAGGUGGAGCAAAUCGCACAAAGCUUUCCUCAGUUCGGAUUGUAGUCUGCAACUCGGCUACAUGAAGUUGGAAUCGCUAGUAAUCGCGUAUCAGCUAUGACGCGGUGAAUAUGUUCCUGAGCCUUGUACACACCGCCCGUCAAGUCACGGAAAUCGGGAGCACCCGAAGUAGG
rnacentral:rRNA from 1 species